CUCCGGGUUGAUCCCGCCGGACCCGACUGCUAUCAGAGUGGGACUAAGCCAUGCGAGUCAACAUAGCAAUAUGUGGCAUACGGCUCAGUAACACGUAGUCAACAUGCCCAGGGGACGUGGAUAACCUCGGGAAACUGAGGAUAAACCGCGAUAAGUCACUACUUCUGGAAUGGGUAAUGACUCAAAUCUACAUGGCCCCUGGAUUGGACUGCGGCCGAUCAGGCUGUUGGUGAGGUAAUGGCCCACCAAACCUGUAACCGGUACGGGCUCUGAGAGGAGGAGCCUGGAGAUGGGCACUGAGACAAGGGCCCAGGCCCUAUGGGGCGCAGCAGGCGCGAAACCUCUGCAAUAGGCGAAAGCUUGACAGGGUUACUCUGAGUGAUUUCCGUUAAGGAGAUCUUUUGGCACCUCUAAAAAUGGUGCAGAAUAAGGGGUGGGCAAGUCUGGUGUCAGCCGCCGCGGUAAUACCAGCACCCCGAGUGGUCGGGACGUUUAUUGGGCCUAAAGCAUCCGUAGCCGGUUCUACAAGUCUUCCGUUAAAUCCACCUGCUUAACAGAUGGGCUGCGGAAGAUACUAUAGAGCUAGGAGGCGGGAGAGGCAAGCGGUACUCGAUGGGUAGGGGUAAAAUCCGUUGAUCCAUUGAAGACCACCAGUGGCGAAGGCGGCCCGCCAGAACGCGCUCGACGGUGAGGGAUGAAAGCUGGGGGAGCGAACCGGAUUAGAUACCCGGGUAGUCCCAGCCGUAAACGAUGCGAGCUAGAUGAUCCAGUCGCAAAUCGCGAUUGGAGUGUCGCAGGGAAGCCGUUAAGCUCGCCGCCUGGGGAGUACGGUCGCAAGACUGAAACUUAAAGGAAUUGGCGGGGGAGCA
rnacentral:rRNA from 1 species